rnacentral:rRNA from 1 species
UCAUGGCUCAGAGCGACGCUGGCGGCAGGCCUAACACAUGCAAGUCGAACGGAUCCUUCGGGAUUAGUGGCGGACGGGUGAGUAACACGUGGGAACGUGCCCUUUGGUUCGGAACAACUCAGGGAAACUUGAGCUAAUACCGGAUGUGCCCUUCGGGGGAAAGAUUUAUCGCCAGAAGAGGAGCCCGCGUCCGAUUAGGUAGUUGGUGGGGUAAAGGCCUACCAAGCCGACGAUCGGUAGCUGGUCUGAGAGGAUGAUCAGCCACACUGGGACUGAGAUACGGCCCAGACUCCUACGGGAGGCAGCAGUGGGGAAUAUUGGACAAUGGGGGCAACCCUGAUCCAGCAAUGCCGCGUGAGUGAUGAAGGCCUUAGGGUUGUAAAGCUCUUUUGCCAGGGAAGAUGAUGACUGUACCUGGAGAAUAAGCCCCGGCUAACUUCGUG